AGUGAUCGCUGGCGGCGUGCUUAACACAUGCAAGUCGAGCGAAUUUCAGCAGUGUAUCGCUGAAGUUAGCGGCAGACGGGUGAGUAAUACUUGGGCAAUCUGCCCUUGAGUGGGAAACAACCGGCCGAAAGGCUGGCUAAUGUCCCAUAAGACCACAGGAUGGCAUCAUCCAGGGGUCAAAGCUCCGUAAGGGGCGCUUGAGGAGGAGCCUGAGGCCUAUCAUGGUAGUUGGUGAGGUAACGGCUCACCAAGCCUUUGACGGGUAGCCGGCCUGAAAGGGUGAUCGGCCACACUGGCACUGAGACACGGGCCAGACUCCUACGGGAGGCAGCAGUGGGAAUUUUGGACAAUGGGGCAACCCUGAUCCAGCGACGCCGCGUGAAGGAUGAAGGUCUUCGGAUUGUAAACUU
rnacentral:rRNA from 1 species